AUGCAUAUACACAGACAGGCACGUGCACACAAACACACGAACACAUGGGCACGCAGGUCCAAACAUGCAUAUACACAGAUAGGCACGUGCACACACACACACACAAACACAUGGGCACACAGGUCCAAACGUGCAUAUACACAGACAGGCAUGUGCACACACACACACACACAAACACAUGAGCACACAGGUCCAAACGUGCAUAUACACAGACAGGCACGUGCACACACACACACCCACAAACACAUGGGCACACAGGUCCAAACACAUGCAUAUACACAGACAGGCACGUGCACACACACACAGACAAACACAUGGGCACGCAGGUCCAAACACAUGCAUAUACACAGACAGGCACGUGCACACACACACACAAAAAAAGACAUGGGCACGCAGGUCCAAACACAUGCAUAUACACAGACAGGCACGUGCACACACACACACAAAAAGACAUGGGCACGCAGGUCCAAACACAUGCAUAUACACAGACAGGCACGUGCACACACACACACACACAAACACAUGGGCACGCAGGUCCAAACACAUGCAUAUACACAGACAGGCAGGUGCACACACACACACACAAAAAGACAUGGGCACGCAGGUCCAAACACAUGCAUAUACACAGACAGGCAGGUGCACACACACACACAAAAAGACAUGGGCACGCAGGUCCAAACACAUGCAUAUACACAGACAGGCACGUGCACACACACACACAAACACAUGGGCACACAGGUCCAAACGUGCAUAUACACAGAUAGGCACAUGCACACACACACAAACACAUGGGCACACAGGUCCAAACGUGCAUAUACACAGAUAGGCACGUGCACACACACACACAAACACAUGGGCACACAGGUCCAAACGUGCAUAUACACAGAUAGGCACGUGCACGCACACACACACAAACACAUGGGCACACAGGUCCAAACGUGCAUAUACACAGAUAGGCACGUGCACACACACACACAAACACAUGGGCACACAGGUCCAAACGUGCAUAUACACAGAUAG
rnacentral:lncRNA from 1 species